AGAAGCUGAGACCACGUUCCCUCAGCAGCUGGAAACCAGGAACCCACUUGGACAUGUCCUGCUUCUCAACACUGAGCACUCCAGGACACUGAUGUCAUGGCUUGAGAGGCAGAAGAGGUCCCUGGCCGUGAGACCAGGAGGCUCAGCCCCUCCAAACCUCCCAGAGGAACCACAGGCUCCAACAGAUGGGAUGGAGUGGAAGGGAAAAGGUGGCAGCUGUGACAUUCCAGUAAGCCCAGAAUGGGUCAUUUUCCCAUAACUGGAAUGGGCUGUUUUCCCAUAACUGGAAUUAAACCUCAUUUUCAAUCACUGAGAUUUGCAGCUCCAAACUCUGACAGACUUUUGAUUCCAGCAAAACGCAAACUAAAUAAAAUAUAAUCCACAUCCAUUGUAUGCACAAA